UUCCCUCGUCUUGUUUACAGCGGAGUGUGUCAUCUACUGUUCCCAUAUGUAGUUAAGAUUGACCCAUAAACACUGUGAUGCUACCAAAAUAAAC